CGUGGGUAACCUGCCCAAGAGAUCGGGAUAACACCUGGAAACAGAUGCUAAUACCGGAUAACAACAGAUGAUGCCUAUCAACUGUUUAAAAGAUGGUUCUGCUAUCACUCUUGGAUGGACCUGCGGUGCAUUAGCUAGUUGGUAGGGUAACGGCCUACCAAGGCGAUGAUGCAUAGCCGAGUUGAGAGACUGAUCGGCCACAUUGGGACUGAGACACGGCCCAAACUCCUACGGGAGUCAGCAGCC
rnacentral:rRNA from 1 species